rnacentral:rRNA from 1 species
UAGGGAAUCUUCGGCAAUGGACGGAAGUCUGACCGAGCAACGCCCCGUGAGUGAAGAAGGUUUUCGGAUCGUAAAGCUCUGUUGUUAGAGAAGAACGUUGGUAGGAGUGGAAAAUCUACCAAGUGACGGUAACUAACCAGAAAGGGACGGCUAACUACGUGCCAGCAGCCGCGGUAAUACGUAGGUCCCGAGCGUUGUCCGGAUUUAUUGGGCGUAAAGCGAGCGCAGGCGGUUCUUUAAGUCUGAAGUUAAAGGCAGUGGCUUAACCAUUGUACGCUUUGGAAACUGGAGGACUUGAGUGCAGAAGGGGAGAGUGGAAUUCCAUGUGUAGCGGUGAAAUGCGUAGAUAUAUGGAGGAACACCGGUGGCGAAAGCGGCUCUCUGGUCUGUAACUGACGCUGAGGCUCGAAAGCGUGGGGAGCAAACAGG